CACACAUUCAGCGGGGUCAUCUCCUAGAUUGGCAUCUGGACCUGGCCAGCCUUGCCUACACCCUCUAGGCCUCCAGGACAUGGAGACUUCAGAGGAGGCCUGUCUCCCAGAUUAGCCCCAAAGACAACAGGCUCCUGAAGAAGAAAGAGGAGGUGCAGGCACAGCCCAGACCUGGGAUGGGAUGGGCUUCCCCUGAACCAGUGGGGAACUUCCUCCUGGGAAAGCCAUGACAGGGGCAGUUCCUCUCCUGGGCCAGGCGUCAGAGAAUCCGGGCCCCAGCUGUUCCUGCCUGGCUGCCCGAAACCCUGAGCACCCACCGGAGACAGGAGGCCCUGCCUGCUCACUGCCCAUUGUCCCUGCACCACAGUGCUGCUUCCCAUGCGCCUCCUGUUUACACAGGAAGCCCCGCUCUGGGAUGCCACCUCCCUCUCCUGAUGGCUGGCUCCAAGCUUACAUUCCUCACAGCGGCUUCAAUGAGUGGGACUAAAACAGGGUCUCAUUGAGUUGCUGAGGCUGACUUUGAAGCUGUGAUCCUCCUGCCUCAACCUCCCAAGCUGCUUGGAUUAUAGGCGUGUGCCACCACACCCAGCUAUGCACAUGGAUUCUUAGCAGGUGUACUCUCUUGGGUAUAACAACGUCACUAUCACCUUCUGGAGCUGUCAGGCAUCUUUGGAAGGUGCCAAGUGGAGAGGUGGAGAGCAGGUGCCUGAGCCUGGCAACUAUCACAGACUCAUCUUAGAUGUGAAGUGGCUGAACACACUUGAUCACGGGCAGCCUGUUGUCCUGGUGACCAACGACAGCUGGCCUCACUCUUUGGGGUCAGGCUGGGCUGGAGGUGAGGGCCCAGUGUCCUCCUGCCCCAGGAGAUGUGCAAGAGUCAGUUUACAGAAGAGGGAGAUUGAAGUUAACGACUGGCUUGAGCCCCGUCUGGCUCUGGAGUUCAUGCUUUUCCCACACAGAAGACUUCUGAGGAAGAGGGAAGGCUCCUUGUGUUGAAGCAUGGGCCACCAAUCCCAUCCAAUCUGCAGCCUCCCAGGCACCGUGAGCAGUGGUGACUGUUGACGAAGCAUUUGCCGUGGCUGAGCAGGGGCCAAGCCCUCCAUGUGCAUUUCCUGAUUUGGACCUCACAGCAGCUGUCCAGGCACCAUGGAGGCAACUGUUCCCUUCUCAAGGCUGGCGAAGGGGAGGAUUGAGAGAGGCGGGAGUCAAAGGCAUUGCUAGAUGGAUUGAAAAAACAAAUUCCAGUGCUGGGCCUGGAAGCUUCUUAAAAAGUUUUCGGCGGACACAACAUCUUUGUUUGUAUGUGGUGCUGAGGAUCGAACCCGGGCCGCAAGCAUGCCAGGCUGUGUAUGGAAUACACCACUUGGGAACAGACUCUAGGAUUUCAGAAGGACCCUCAGCCGUGGAAGCACAAGGGCUUAUGAGGAAAAGUAAAACCAGGCUCAGGAUGUUUUGGUUCCAUGUGCGAACUGGAGGAAGAAUGCGGCUCGUCUGAGCUCCUGUGCUGGAGAAUGAGCCACAGGCAAGCUCCCUAAUCACCAAACCACAGUAGAGGGUGGGAAAAUGGGGGUUGGCGUGAUGUUGGGCAGGGCAACAAUUUCCCCGACUUCCUUGAAUGCCAGCUUGGCCAUCUAUCCAGGGCAAAGAAUUGUUGAUGAAGAAUCAUUGCUGCUUAGAGUAUGGGUGUUUCAUUCUUUGGGGGAUCAGAGCCCAAACUAUAUGGUCAAUGUGGCCAGUGGGUACCAGGUAACACGCUCUGGCUACCUCUGCCAUACCCACCCAUCCUCAGCAGAUGGACUCCUGGUGAAAGGAACACCUUGCCUCUGGAGGGCUUCCAGAAUAUCACCUCUGUUUUCUUCCACUAUGUUUAAUGAAUUGCUCCUGAGUGUCUACUGUGUCAGGUCCAGGGCUGGUGCUGGCCAUUCAGUAGUGAGCAGAGACUGUCCCUGCCCUUGUAGAGGUCAUAGAUCCAGUGGAGAAAAUAACCAGAUGCUAAAUAAACAUGUAACUAAAACUCUGGUGGGAGGAGGGGAAGGAUGGCAUGGGGCUGUAGGAGUUAUGGUUUGGAAGUGAGGUGUCCCCAAAAGCUCAUGUGUGAGACAAUGCUUCUGGGCUUCAGCUUCAUCCUGGGAGGUCUUCUUCAUUUGACAGGUGGGGAUAAUGAGGUCCAAGAGGAGGAGGGAUUUUCUCAUUGUCACACAGCUUGGGAAACAUGAUGGCUGGUUAUUCCCAUUGUCCAGAGUCUCUGGGCCUGGGCCUUUUUCCUCUCUGUAAAGGCUUUUACAAAAGCUUACAGCAGUUCUCUCCUCUGAGUAGGGGGCUAAGGCCCUCCUCUCUGUCACUCAGUAUUGCCUGAUGGUCUCCGGGAGGGAUUUGCAGGGAGUCCCAGUGCCUUUCCACCCUUAGGCAGAGGUGCCUGGCUGGAGUGUGUGUGGGGCUUCAGGGAACUGUCUUUGGGUUGGGUCUCUCUAGGCUGCUUUCUUUUUGGGCCCAAAGAGACACAGAGUUUGUUAAUUCACUCAGGGUGGCAAAAAAUGUUCGAGACUAGGUGGCUUAUAAACAAGUUCACAGUUCUGAAGGCUGGGAAGUCUGAGAUCAAAACUCCAAGCAAUUCUAUGCCUGGGGAGAGCCUGUUUCCUGCUUCCUAGGUGGCUUCUCACUCCAUCCUCACAUGGCAGAAGCAGCACUCAGGGUCUUCUUCUAUAAGGGACUAGACACAUUCCUGAGAGUGCCAUACCAUGAUCUAGUCACCUCCCAAGGGCCCUUCUCCCUGUUUCCAACACAUAUUGUCAGGUUUUUAGCGUAUGAAUUUGGAGGGAUAUAAACAUUUGGUCCAUAUCACACAGUGAAACUUCACUAUUAGAGCUGUGAGAUCCAGAGUACCCCAAUGUAACAUACUAUGAGCCUUGGUUUUGUCACCUGCAACAUGGAGAUAAGAAUAGGGCUAGUGGAAGCUUGAAUGAAAUCAUGUUUGAGAAGGGCCUGGUACAUAACAGGUGCCCAGCAUCAAUUGCUUUCUUGAAGUUCCCCGUUCGGUCCUGGUCCAUGUAGUCAUCAUGGCCAGUGGUCAAAGGCAUGGUAGCUUCUGGGGUUCUGUGUUUACAGGCCUGGGAAUAAGGGUGGGUCAGGAUUAGCUGGUGGGCUAACAAGGCCUCUGGAGAAAUAGGUCUUCUCCCUCCCACCUCAGUUCCGUUAAACAGGUUGGCGAAGGAGGAGGUGGGCUUAUGGGGCCACAGGCUAGUAAGCCAUAAUCUUCUGGAGCCUUUGCUAGUUUGAUAGGAAGAGGAAGAAGGCUGCAGUAAGUGUCGGAAGCCCCUUCUAAUGAGCAUGAUGGAUGCAGGACGCAGUUCCUCAGUCCCAACUGCACUGGGAUUGGGCUUCUGUCUCCAUGAUGCCCAGCAGGCAGGGCUUUGAGCCUAUGAUGGCAUUGGGGUUCAGACCUUGGCUCAAGGAAUGGAUUAAAGGAACCUGGCUUAGAACAGAGCUCUGGGGGGCUCCCAGCGCUACACAAAAUGAAAUAAAACAACCCCCCAAACAACAAAACAGAACAGAAACAGUUCUUGUCCCAGCCAGGUCUGUAUGGGAAAAGGGGGACAAAUGAUUGCCUGGCUGGAUUUCUGUGGGUACGCACACCAGCUAAUGAAGCUACCUAGAGAAGAAUGCUCCCUUAUAAUGCCCCUUUAAAGCAGAGGAAACUAAGGCACAGAGACCUUGAUUGACAACCAGUCUGUUAGCAGAGCUGCUUGGAUUAGAAUCUGUUUAUGACCUCAUCUUUUCUUCUUUCCUUCCUUUCUUUCUUUUCUUUUCUUUUCUUUUUUUGUGUGUGAAGAAUUUGAUUUUAUUCUAGAAAUACCGAGAAGCCAUUAAUAUAAACUGGAGUGUGAGAUAAUCUGAUUUGUACUUAAAAAGUGUUGGUUUUAUUGAGAUAAUAAUUCCUAUACCAUAAAACUUAAUGCAUUUUAGUUUAUUCAGAGGGUUGGAUGACUGUUACCACUGUCUAGUCCCAGAACAUUCCCAUCAUCUCUGAAAGAAGCCCACGCACAUUAGCAAUCAAUUUCUUGUUUCUCCCUCUCCCCAGUCCUGGCUACUGUAAUCUACAUUCCAUAGCUAUGUCAAUUCUGGACUUUUAAUAUAGAUAUAAUCACUGUGUGUGUAUGUUUGCAUAUGUGUGUGUGUGUGUGUGUGUAUGUGUGUGUGUGUGUAUGUGUGGUGUGUGUUGCUGUACUAGGAUUUGAACACAGAGCUUUGUACAUGUUAGGUAAGCCCUCUACUACUGAGCUAGACCCUCAGCCCCAUAAACACAUUUUAUGUGGGCUUUUGUUUUAUUGUUGUUGUUGUUUCUGUAUCUGGUUUCUUUAAUCAGCAUAUUUCCAAAGUUCAUCCAUACUAGAGCAUGUAUCAGUACUUCAUUCACUUUUUCUUGCUUAAUAAUAUUCUGUUCUAUGGUUAUACCACAUUAGGUUUUUCUGUUCAUCAGUUGAUGGAUAUUUGGGUUGUUUCCACUUUGGGGCUAUUACAAAUAUUACAAGUAUACAGAUUUUUUUGAGUGGAGGUAUAUUUUUAUUCCUCUUGGGCAUAUAUCUAGGCAUGAAAUUGCUGAGUCAUGCAAUAAUCCUGUUUAACAUUUUCAGGAACUGCCAAAUUGUUUUCUUUAUUUCUUUUCUUAAAAAUCUUUUUUUAUUUUUAACUGACACAUAGCAAUUGUGCAUAUUUAUGGGAUACAAUUUGACAUUUCAGUAAAAGCAUUUAAUACAUUAUGAUUAGGUCAGGGUAACUGGCAUAGCUAUCAUUUCAGACAUAUAUAAAUUCUUUGUGUUGAAAUAUGUUCAGCAUUUUUUAUUUGCUCUUGGUCAUUUGUAUAUCUUCCUUGGGAAACUGUCUAUUCAAAUCCUUUCCC